GACGAACGCUAGCGGCGUGCCUAAGGUAUGCAAGUCGAGCGGACCAGAGCAAUCUGGUUAGCGGCAAACGGUUGAGUAACACGUAGACAACCUGCCCGGAAGACGGGGAUAACUCGGGGAAACUUGGGCUAAUACCGGAUGUGGAAUCGCGGGGCAUCCCGCGUUCUCUAAAUGGAGCAAUCCGCUUCCGGAUGGGUCUGCGGCCUAUCAGCUUGUUGGUGGGGUAACGGCCUACCAAGGCGACGACGGGUAGCUGGUCUGAGAGGAUGACCAGCCAGAC
rnacentral:rRNA from 1 species